rnacentral:lncRNA from 14 species
CUCUACCAUCCUAAAAGCAAGUGUAAGCCAUGCCUGAGGUGCUGGACUGGGUUGGCCUUGGGAUGGCUGCGGUACAUGAGGCAGACUGCAGCCUGAGCCUCCCUCCCCACCUCUCCCCACCCAUGGCAGGAGCUGAUCCGAAAGGGCAUCCCACACCACUUCCGGGCCAUCGUUUGGCAGCUCCUGUGCAGUGCCACAGAUAUGCCCGUCAAAAACCAGUACUCCGAGCUCCUCAAGAUGUCCUCACCAUGUGAGAAGCUGAUCCGAAGGGACAUUGCCCGCACCUAUCCAGAGCAUGAGUUCUUCAAAGGCCAGGACAGCCUGGGCCAGGAAGUCCUCUUCAAUGUCAUGAAGGCAUACUCCCUGGUUGAUCGGGAGGUUGGAUAUUGCCAAGGCAGUGCCUUCAUUGUGGGCUUACUCCUCAUGCAGAUGCCUGAGGAAGAGGCCUUCUGUGUGUUUGUGCGGCUGAUGCAGGAGUACCGGCUACGGGAGCUCUUCAAGCCCAGCAUGGCCGAGCUGGGACUCUGUAUCUACCAGUUUGAAUACAUGCUGCAGGUAAGCAGGCCAGGGAUGACCACCCUGAGGUUAUCUCCAGAACACCCCUAAACUGGAAAUUCUAGACCUAAGAAAUUACCCUUGGGAGCUGAGACUAUGGCUCAGUUGGUAGGAUCUUUGCCCAUCAUGCACAAAGUCCUGAACACCACCCCUAGAACUUUAUAAACUGGGCACGGCAGUACACAUCUGUCAUCCUAUGACUUAGGAGUCGAGGUAGAGGGUCAGAAAUUCAAGGUCAGUCUCAGCUACAUGGGAAGUUCAAACCAGCCUGAGUUACAUGAAACCCUCUCUGGAAAGAAGUGGGUGGUCAACAUGCCUGGAGCCUGGUAAGGUGGUAACACCUUCAUGAUCGUAGUG